rnacentral:rRNA from 1 species
AACGAACGCUGGCGGCAUGCCUAACACAUGCCAGUCGAACGAGACCUUCGGGUCUAGUGGCGCACGGGUGCGUAACGCGUGGGAACCUGCCCUUAGGUUCGGAAUAACUCCCCGAAAGGGGUGCUAAUACCGGAUAAUGUCUUCGGACCAAAGAUUUAUCGCCUUUGGAUGGGCCCGCGUUGGAUUAGCUAGUUGGUAGUGUAAAAGCCUACCAAGGCGACGAUCCAUAGCUGGUCUGAGAGGAUGAUCAGCCACACUGGGGCUGAGACACGGACCAGACUCCUACGGGAGGCAGCAGUGGGGAAUAUUGGACGAUGGGCGAAAGCCUGAUCCAGCAACGCCGCGUGAGUGAUGAAGGCCUUAGGGUUGUAAAGCUCUUUUAGCCGGGAUGAUAAUGACAGUACCGGGAGAAUAAGCUCCGGCUAACUCCGUG